rnacentral:rRNA from 1 species
CCAAUAGCGUAUAUUAAAGUUGUUGCAGUUAAAAAGCUCGUAGUUGAAUUUCGGGAUCAGUACGCUGGUCAUGCCUUUGGUAUGCACUGGUGUCACUGGUUUCUCCCUUCUGAAGAUCCGUGAUGUCAUUAAUUUGGUGUCGCGGGGAAUCAGGACUGUUACUUUGAAAAAAUUAGAGUGUUUAAAGCAGGCUCACGCUUGAAUACAUUAGCAUGGAAUAAUGAAAUAGGACGUUUGACCCUAUUUUGUUGGUUUCUAGGAUCGACGUAAUGAUUAAUAGGGAUAGUUGGGGGCAUUAGUAUUCAAUUGUCAGAGGUGAAAUUCUUGGAUUUAUUGAAGACUAACUACUGCGAAAGCAUUUGCCAAGGAUGUUUUCAUUAAUCAAGAACGAAAGUUAGGGGAUCGAAGACGAUCAGAUACCGUCGUAGUCUUAACCAUAAACUAUGCCGACUAGGGAUCGGAUGAUUAKGUUAADUUUWWAAYUAGUACGUMCAUUCGGGMSCCUUACGG